rnacentral:rRNA from 1 species
AUUGAACGCUGGCGGAAUGCUUUACACAUGCAAGUCGAACGGCAGCACGGGGCAACCUGGUGGCGAGUGGCGAACGGGUGAGUAAUACAUCGGAACGUGCCCAAUCGUGGGGGAUAACGUAGCGAAAGUUACGCUAAUACCGCAUACGAUCUACGGAUGAAAGCGGGGGAUCGCAAGACCUCGCGCGAAUGGAGCGGCCGAUGUCAGAUUAGGUAGUUGGUGGGGUAAAGGCUCACCAAGCCGACGAUCUGUAGCUGGUCUGAGAGGACGACCAGCCACACUGGGACUGAGACACGGCCCAGACUCCUACGGGAGGCAGCAGUGGGGAAUUUUGGACAAUGGGGGGCAACCCUGAUCCAGCCAUGCCGCGUGAGUGAAGAAGGCCU